rnacentral:rRNA from 1 species
GUGGGGAAUCUUCCGCAAUGGACGAAAGUCUGACGGAGCAACGCCGCGUGAGUGAAGAAGGUUUUCGGAUCGUAAAGCUCUUUCGUUAGGGACGAACGUGCUCUUUGUUAAUAAUGAGGAGUAAUGACGGUACCUAAAUAAGAAGCCACGGCUAACUACGUGCCAGCAGCCGCGGUAAUACGUAGGUGGCAAGCGUUGUCCGGAAUUAUUGGGCGUAAAGCGCGCGCAGGCGGGAUAUCAAGUCUGUCUUAAAAGUGCGAGGCUCAACCUCGUGAGGGGACAGAAACUGGUAUUCUUGAGUGUCGGAGAGGAAAGUGGAAUUCCAAGUGUAGCGGUGAAAUGCGUAGAGAUUUGGAAGAACACCAGUGGCGAAGGCGACUUUCUGGACGAUGUCUGACGCUGAGGCGCGAAAGCUAGGGGAGCGAACGGGAUUAGAAACCCGGGUAGUCC